rnacentral:rRNA from 1 species
UACGUAGGGUGCGAGCGUGUCCGGAAUUAUUGGGCGUAAAGAGCUUGUAGGCGGUCUGUCGCGUCUGCUGUGAAAACCCCGAGGCUCAACCUCGGGCCUGCAGUGGGGUACGGGCAGACUAGAGUGCGGUAGGGGAGAUUGGAAUUCCUGGUGUAGCGGUGGAAUGCGCAGAUAUCAGGAGGAACACCGAUGGCGAAGGCAGAUCUCUGGGCCGUAACUGACGCUGAGGAGCGAAAGCGUGGGGAGCGAACAGG